UGCCAGCAGCCGCGGUAAUACGGAGGGUGCGAGCGUUAAUCGGAAUUACUGGGCGUAAAGCGCGCGUAGGCGGCUAGGUCAGUCGGAUGUGAAAGCCCUGGGCUUAACCUGGGAACUGCAUUCGAUACUGCCUGGCUAGAGUAUGGUAGAGGGAAAUGGAAUUCCGGGUGUAGCGGUGAAAUGCGUAGAUAUCCGGAGGAACACCAGUGGCGAAGGCGACUUCCUGGACCAAUACUGACGCUGAGGUGCGAAAGCGUGGGUAGCGAACGGGAUUAGAUA
rnacentral:rRNA from 1 species